rnacentral:lncRNA from 1 species
UGAGAUCUAAAGUUAGUUCUCUAGUAGUGAAUUGUAGUAUGGAGAUGAAGAAAAUUUAGUUGACAAGACUAUUCAGAUGGGCUUUUCAGUUAGUAGCUUGAUUAUAUGAGUUUAGCACAUGGUAUAACAUGAGAACAUUUGAGGAGCAAAGAAGUUGCCUAAGAACUCAAAGGGGUUUGCAUGGGAUGAGUCCAAAGUGAUUUUUACCUGCACUAGAUAAUCUGAUGCCAUCAUUUUUACGUGUGUCAUCUUUGGCGGAACCUUC